CCCCUCGCUUCCUAUCAGUCACUUGUGCCUCUGCUUCAGUCCGGUGUGUCUUCUCCUCUCCCUACCGAUAGUUGGGGUUAAUGGAUGUUCUUGCUAGAUCUGCUCCCUCUGCUUAUUCUCAUCCCUGUGGUUGUUCUUAUGCUUUUCUAAAGUGAUUUUUGUGCUUUUUUCUGUUUGCGGGAUUUGGGAAUCAGGGGAUCCUUGGCAGACGGAUUAGUUCUGCUACAUCUAUCCCCUUCUUCAGGUAUGGUUUGCCCUGUUUGUUGUUGUCCUGGUGCUCCAUGCUUUCUGUUUGUGCCAGCCGAUGAAGUCCCUGAAGUUUUCGAUGUCGUCCUUGAUGAAUAUUGCUCUAGGAGGAUGAUCUGCUGCUGUUGGUUUGGUGGAUUGAAGGAGAAGGUAGCUGCUAGCAAGAAUCGUCUGGACAAGUUGUUCAGAAACAUCAGAAGACAAGGGGAGAUCUGAGCUUUCUUUCUUUUCCCAUUGUGGCAGUUGUGUGGGUGUCGAGCAACAAAGAAGAGGAGGCAAGGGAGAAGCCCUAGUGAGCUGUACGAUAACUGGAUCUUUAGCUUAGCGGGUUCAGGCCUGUUUUCUCUCUGGGCUAAAGAAAGAGCAGAAGAAAGAAACAGAAUGUUCUGAGGCUUUCUUUCUAUUGGGCUGACUGACUGACAAUAGUUUUGGGUCAGUCAGUUUUCUUUCUGGGUUGCAAUCUUUUCCCUUUGUUAACAUUCGACUGACCACCUUUUGAGCCAGUCGAUUGAUCUGUAGCCACUCCCGCUUUGCACACUAGCUAACUGCAUCUGUAAAUAACAGAAUAAGAAACUGAGACACCUUGUACUAUGUUGUUGAACAGAAACUGAACAUUUGAGCUGUAGCA